GUAGGGAAUCUUGCGCAAUGGGCGAAAGCCUGACGCAGCCAUGCCGCGUGAAUGAUGAAGGUCUUAGGAUUGUAAAAUUCUUUCACCGGGGAAGAUAAUGACGGUACCCGGAGAAGAAGCCCCGGCUAACUUCGUGCCAGCAGCCGCGGUAAUACGAAGGGGGCUAGCGUUGCUCGGAAUUACUGGGCGUAAAGGGCGCGUAGGCGGACAGCUUAGUCAGAGGUAAAAGCCCAGGGCUCAACCUUGGAACUGCCUUUGAUACUGGCUGUCUUGAGUUCGGGAGAGGUGAGUGGAAUGCCGAGUGUAGAGGUGAAAUUCGUAGAUAUUCGGCGGAACACCAGUGGCGAAGGCGACUCACUGGCCCGAUACUGACGCUGAGGCGCGAAAGCGUGGGGAGCAAACAGGAUUAGAAACCCGUGUAGUCC
rnacentral:rRNA from 1 species